GAAAAGAGGGUUGUCUUAUAGGGCACAAAAUCGAAUACAUAGUCCAAGGAAAGAUCUUCAAUUAUUGUAAAUUGGUGACUUCUCACAUUAUAUGCUAUGUUGAAUUUUGUUGAAUGAUGAUCUCUGUGUCUUCUUGAAAUGAAUAAUCCGUCACUGUCUUGAAAUGAAUAAUGUAUCCCCCACCAAAAGAAGGGCCUCAAGUGUAUUGCCAGGCUCAUCCUUCAAAUUUUGCAGGCCCGCCUUCACCACCAGCUCCCAAUUCCUCAUCUCUCUAUUUAAAACCCACAUUUUGAACUCUAAAUCAUGGUUUAUAUUGAAAACACAAACCCGGUCACCCCACAAUUGGGUUUGCAAAAGGCAUCCGCAACUGUAGAGCCGGAUUCCCA
rnacentral:lncRNA from 1 species